AUUUUAAAUUGUAGAAUUCUGGGGCCCUUCGUACUGUCACAGUGUUGGACACUCAGCACCUCUGUCUAAUUCCAGAACAGUUCCAUCACCCCAGAGAGAAACCCCGGAGGCAUGAGCAGCCUCUCCUCAUCCCCCACCCCAGCCCCAGCCCCUGCAAACUCGGAUCUGCUUUCUGUCUCCACGGAGCUGCCUGUUCUGAACAUUUCACAUAAAUGGAAUCGUACAGCGUGUGACCUUCUGUGUCUGGCUCCUUUCACUCAGCGUGAUACAACCCCUUCGUCUCUCAGGCGGGCGGGAGGGCCCCGUCCCAGCUCACACAGCGGGGAAGGACAGGCUUCCCACGAGUCAGAGGACGCCGAGCCAGGAUGGGCAGCCCCCAGGUGGAAAGGAAGGUGGCGACUGAGUCCAUCACCUGUCAUCUAGAACCUGAGAGCGGGAUGCACGCUGACAAAGCCCACGCCGCGGCUGAAUUCAAACGUCUGGUUCAAGGAGUACGGAUUGGGCGCCUGCUGGAUGCACAGCCCCUUUCCCAGACCAUCCAGCCUGGCUGGUCUGGAGCACAGUCUUUGAUGGAAGCGAGGUUUGAGUCUGGAGGCACGUUUCCCGCUGAAGGAAGCUGCCUCCUUUGGGUGUCUCCCUCCUGCCGCCGGUGCAGCCCAGGGACAGCCAGGCACCUGCGUGGAAAGGUGAGGUGCCUCCCACUUUGGAGAAGGCAGUGAUGGAGUGGCCUCCCGUGCCGGAGGCCAGGGUGGAGGGUGCGGUGCUGAAGUGUGCUUGUCAGCAGGUCCAAGAGGGGACAGAGGAAGGCCAGGCUGGGCUCAUGUGUGUCCUUAAGCCCCCUCGUCUCCCGGGGUGACCCUGUGAGCCAUCCUGAGUUAGCUGCUUCGCGCCACUGAAACACCCACCUUCCUCUGGAGAGAUGAUUCCACGCCACUCAAGGACCCCACCUAUGUGACAAUCACUGAUUAAAAUGCCUCUGCCUGCUCCAUGCCUGCGUGCAGGGUGAAUUGUACAGACGGCCAUAAACCCGCCGCAGUGACUCCGCUGCCUCCCGGGGCUGCUUUAUCUCAGCCACACAGAGAGAGAGGGGAGCCCUGCCUUUCUGUUUGGAG
rnacentral:lncRNA from 9 species